AGAUCCUGCCUCCUGAAAACACAGUCAGUUCUGAACUCUUCAGAGAAUUAAUCCAGUGGUGAGCACAGCACUCUGAUGACCCAACAACCUUCUAAAACCUCAGCCUCUGAACAUUUCAUUUUCUAGGAUAUUAUUUUCAUGCUUAUCUUUUGCUUUUGAAAAUAAUCACUGCUAUUGCUGUUUCCUACACAGGAGAGAGCGCGAACGCAGUCCCCCACUACCACAAAUUAUGCAGUCGAGUUUCCCGCAUUUGGGGAAAUUGCAGGGGUCAGCACAUCCGGAGUGCAAUGGAUAAGCCUCGCCCUGGGAAAACCACCUUCGUGAUCCUGGUGUCUCCCCUGCCAGACUCAGUGAGGUGACAAGAGAGGAGAACUACGAAUGAUAGCCACAUGGGAAACACCGGAACAAGGGUCAGCAGCCACGGUGCAGUGCUGCCUCGGUGGGGGGAUCCCCAAGCAGCCCUGGGACCCAGCCCUCACGGAUGCCUUGCCACUUGUUCCAUGGACUCUGGUCUUCUGCCAUUUGUCCUUCCAAAUGGAAAGCUCUGCUCUUUCAAAAAACAAAAAAAAAAAAAAGUCCCCUGAACGAGUCUUUCCUUGCUCACAUUGCUCUGCACUCCUGCACCCCCAGUCUCUGCACUGUUCAAGUCUUCUUCAUCUGGGUUCAAUUCAGAACGUUUUCCUGUUCCAAUUUCAGUCCUCUCCCCCACCUACAUGACCCCUGUGCCAUGCGUUAAAUCUUGGCUCACUAUUGGAAGCCAUGUUGUCAUAAUUUGGGGGUCCAAGAAGGUCCUCCCGAAAGGAGAUGGGUGCCACCAACUCAUUUCCACCAGGGGCAUAGGUCAUGGGAAAAAUUUCAGGACCCUUCAGUGAGAAAUCUCAUCAGACUUACUACACAGGAAAAAAAAAAUCAGAAGGCAAGGGUAAGCUGACUGAGGCUGGCACUUCUGAUCUCUAGUUUUCAAGGCUGAUUGCUUUUCAGACGUGACUUAUAUUUUGGAAAACUUAUAGCAGAAUAAAGGCACAGACCAAAUUUGUAGUUCAUUUUGUCUUGAAGAAUCUUAGGAAAUUUUUUGGGUUGGGUUUCCUACAAAGAGAAGAAAAUAGGCAUUGUAAUUUUGAGUAACAUUGUGUUCUGAAACUAUAGUUUUCUUGGUUUGUUUGUUUGUUUGUUUGUUUGGGGGUUUUUUGUUUGUUUGUAAAGGGGAUC